CACACAACAGUCUCGUCUCUAAGUUGGAGAAACAAGGAUUCCAUGGUGGCUGAGGAACCGGCUGGAUGUUCACACUCAAAGAGUUACAGUCAAUGUCUCAAUGCCCAAGUGGACACCAAGGACAAGCAGCAAGGAGUGUUUGUAUGAGGUCUCUAUUGGGACUGGCCCUGUUUCACUCUGUCACCAACACAGACAAUGGGAUCAAGGCCACCCUCAGCAAAUUGGCUGACAACACUGAGCUCCAUGGCACCAUCAAUACACUUGAGGGAAGGGAUGCCAUCCAAAGGGAUCUGGACCGCUUGCAAGCUGCUGCUGAAAGAUAAUUUUCCUGGAUGCCUAUCUGAGAAGCUUGUCUUCCCUGAGAGAAUCUAGAGCCAGUGCUGAAGAACUUCACUUGAGCAUGCAGCUGGUACCUCUUUUCCCCCCAACACUGCUCCACUAGUAUACAAUAGUAUUAUUACCAGCUUAUGGCUCUUCACAUGUGAGAAACGUCAUCAUCUGGUGUUUCACCAACAUAAGCCUGUUGUUGCUGGAUACAAAAGUGAUGGUGCAGCUCUGGUUCUUCCCUGCAGCAGGAGGAUAAAGUUCAUGGUGGGGGGGUACCAUGGAUGCUAAGCAUUACAUGACCCCAAUAGAAGAUGUUCUGCAAGCCAGUAGAGACAUCAGCUGAAGGUUAACAGAGAUCCACCAUGUCCAAAUAGAAAAUCUCAGUGCCAGAAAGCGUGGUUGAAAGCAGGAACUUCACGGAAAGGUGCAUGCUAUUGCACAAGCAAAAGAUAAAGCAAAUCCUUAUGGAAACUACAGGAGGAGGAACACUGGGAAUCACACCCAUUACUGCCUUGGAUUCAAACAUAACAAGUGACAGCCAAAAACUGCUUGAAAUAAUGAAGACUGAAGACACCCAGACCUUCUUACAAACUAACUUGUUAUAUUACAAGGAGAAGAUCCUUACCACUCCAAGGUGAAAAAAUACCACAGAAUUUGCCAAACCAAAUACUGUUCUGAAAGCUAGCUAUACCCUUUAAUUUUUACCACUAUUAGUAGUAACAUGUUCCAGGCAUCUCAGUUUUGUCAUUUGCAGCCAACUUACUCCUUUGUCAGGAAUACAGCCAGCAGCGCUAAAUAUUCUGUCUUAUUGUAUCCACCUAGUCACCUUAAAUAAGCAAGUGGAUGUAAACCACUUUGUUCUACUCCUGGGGUGUUUAAAAACCUGUGGUAAUGUGCUCACCACCCAAGUAAAAAUAUGGCAUGACACUUUGUUGUCGUUUAAACCCAGCUGGCAACUAAGAACACAUAGCCACAACUAAAAACACUGCCCUUCACAUCCUGGUCAAAAAGGGGAGAAGAAUUUUAAAAAAAGCUCACCAGUGAAGACCAGUUUAAUUGACCAGUAAUUGAAACAAAGUAAUGUGCAAUACUACUAAUAAAAUGAAAUAAGAAAGGAGAGAAACCCCAAGGAAAACAAGUGAUAGACAAAAGAACUGCUCAUCAUCAUCCAGUGGCUUAUACUAAACCCUAUCCCUGAACUGUGAGCAC